GAGUGAACGCUGGCGGUAGGCCUAACACAUGCAAGUCGAACGGCAGCACAGUAAGAGCUUGCUCUUACGGGUGGCGAGUGGCGGACGGGUGAGGAAUACAUCGGAAUCUACUUUUUCGUGGGGGAUAACGUAGGGAAACUUACGCUAAUACCGCAUACGACCUACGGGUGAAAGCAGGGGAUCUUCGGACCUUGCGCGAUCGAAUGAGCCGAUGUCGGAUUAGCUAGUUGGCGGGGUAAAGGCCCACCAAGGCGACGAUCCGUAGCUGGUCUGAGAGGAUGAUCAGCCACACUGGAACUGAGACACGGUCCAGACUCCUACGGGAGGCAGCAGUGGGGAAUAUUGGACAAUGGGCGCAAGCCUGAUCCAGCCAUACCGCGUGGGUGAAGAAGGCCUUCGGGUUGUAAAGCCCUUUUGUUGGGAAAGAAAAGCAGCAGGUUAAUACCCCGCUGUUCUGACGGUACCCAAAGAAUAAGCACCGGCUAACUUCGUG
rnacentral:rRNA from 1 species